GAAUGCCAAUCUUGGAAGCUCCUGGGAGAGCAAUGGCGAGUUAUGAUUAGGUUGUAUAUAUGGCAGGUUUAGAGCAUCAUUUUUAGAGUCGUAGGAUCCAGGGAAAUGGAGGUGGAUUUUUGUUCCAGGAAUUUCCUUGAGCUGCAUCAAAUUUUCCAUGGAAUUGUAGAAAUCCCCGUCUCUAUAUUGUGGAAGAGUGACUGGGCAAGUCCUUUCCAAUCAAUAUAUAAGCAGUUUUUCUCAUAAAAUAGCUUGCAACUCGAAAGCAUCUGAUUUUUAUGCUUAGAUUCAGAGGUUAUUCUGCGAAGCCAAUUGCAACUGUAGUUCUUACCAACGUUGGGAAUGAGCCAUUAUUUUAACAAGUUGCCUUCCAUAGUUGCUUGAUAUUUUACAAAGCAAAGUUACUUUGUGUUGAGAUUAGAGAGAAUUGAA
rnacentral:misc_RNA from 1 species